CUUUUUUUUCCAAUCAUUGAUUUAGGUGGUUAUAGACUUGCUAAACAAAAUGUCUUUUUCCAUAUUUUGCUUAAAUUAAUUGAAGUGCUUGAACCCUGGUAAUUGCUGCUCGCAGCUAUAUUUUUCUUUAGGAAUAAUAUACACAGAUGAAUCUUUCUCAGUAAGACCAGCAACAAAUUCGGAAUAGAUAGUUUUAUGCUAAGAAAUGUGUGUGUGUGUGUUUACAGUGUGGUAUCAGUAUAAAAAUAUAAUCCUAAUUCUCCCUGAGGUAGCCUGAAACCAAUCGCAGGGAUGUUCACAGGCCUGAUGAGAAGAGCGAGACAAUAUAAAAACGUGUGAAAAUGACACGCUGGUUUCAUUUGCUAUUCUUCUCACGGCUGUUUCGGUGUGUCGUUCUGACACAGCUUCCAUUCUCUAUGCUGAUGCUCGAUCCCCCUCCGGCUGAUACCUGAGACGUGACAGUUACCAGGGACUUAAGUUCUUAAACCUGGCAAGUUCUUUUGUUUUUUUCCCCUCCUCCUUCACUUUUCUCUCCUCUAGAGUGUCCUCUGAGGAUCUAAAACCUGCUGUGUUUGUUUUCAAACGUGAAUGUAAAGCAAUUAUUUAUAUAAUAACAAACACAUAGCCUACAUAAAGAAUUCAUUGAUAUUCUGCACACCUCUCAAGGUUAGACCAUUAGCGACAUUACAUUACGGACCCCACUGGGUGGGUUAUAUCACCCUGUUUGUCCUGAUUUUUAUGUAUUAGAAGUGGAAUUUCGGAGUUAUUAAUAGCUGGCGACGACGUCAUGCAUUGACCCGAUCACCACAAUGUCCCUUCACACCUAACCUGCAAAAACGCACCGCUGCCUACUUGUCUGACCAUCAGUUGUCUUGGUAACCGCCACCAGAGGUGUAGAAAUGACCAUCUGACCACACGACAAAGAUGAGAAUCACAUUUAUAGCUCAUAUUACAAUCAGCCAGCAGAGCCUUGUAAAAUCUAAUGCUUUGUCUUAUCAAAAUUCAGCACAGAAAUCAGAAAAUGUGCAUAGCAUUGGUACUUCAGUGUAAGUGUCUGACUUUAAACACAGCACAGCUGUUGAAUAGCAUCUGCGGGCCAUUAGUGUUAUAUAGUGUCGUCAGUCUUGACAGGUAACAGCACUUAUGCAUCCAAACUGAAUUUCAAAUGAACAGCGCGUUCAAGCGUUUUGCGCUAUUUAUGGCUCGCACUCAGCAUGAGAGUGACGUCUCAAAGCACAGCUUUCGCUGCUGCAGUGAUGUGUCUGGUGUCAAACAGAAGGCCCUCUGACCAGCGCUCUGGGAACGUUAGCCCACAGGAGCUACGUGGACGAUAACAUCUUUGUGACCACUUUGAAGUUGUUUAUCGGUAACACCGAACAGUGGCUUUUCAGUAUGUUGCUGCUGGCUGCAAGACCUGGUGCUGUACAUGAGAUUUUUAUUGCUUUUAUUUUUCUUAAAGUACUUUCUGCACCAUUAGCAUCAGCAAAACGCUGUUUUCAAAUUAGUUUCCUGUUCAGAAUAGCAUGCUAACAUGCUACCAAUGUGUAUAUAGAAUAUACACAAAAUAUAUAAUUUUCUGUUUGCAAUAUUACAUUUGCUGUGACAUGCAGUAUACAACCAAAUGCAAUGCUGUAUCCCACAAUGCAAUGUCCUCAACUUGACCUUCCCAUUUCCAGUGUGAUGAAUGAACUCAAAGUGAUUUGAUUGGACACCUUAUAUACAAUGUAAUAAGGUCAUGAGACAAAAAUACAUAUAAUUGGUUGUUAUCUAGCAACAUCAAAAUUAUGAGUAGUACUCAGGAUAGGAUAAAUAAGUAAGUUUACUGGAUGUACUUUAGUUUGGGUUGAUAUGAAUCAGAGACUUGUCAAGGGUAAAAUUCCUGACCUUUCUCAGAGUGAUCGUUUUUGUGGAAAUGAGAAAAGAACUGAAACCUAAAGCAGCUUGGAAUAACAAUGGUAAACGUUUGCAUUUGUGACCUUUCAAUCUUGGAUAUAUAAAUGCCACCGCCGAACUUCAAUCACACAACAAAGAAACACUUGAAAAUAUGUGCGAGAUAUACACUGACUUUCUAAUUAAUUGCAUUUUAAUUUAAUUGCAUUUUUCUGCAGGUCGUUAUAUAGCUCAUAACUGUUGUGAUUACUAAAACGUUUAAAAAAUACAAUUAAAACAUGCAUAUGUGCACUUUCAGAGAACUCGUCCAUACCAGAUAAUCCAGAAAUAAACCAAAGGCAUGAAGAAGUAUUUUCAUGCUGUAGUGUGCCAGGUUAUUAAUUUUAAAAGUCACAUCCUCAUGCGUUUUUUUAGGGACUAGCCCUGCUUGUGCUGCCCCAUAAAGCACUAGAAGGGGAGUGUGCCUCCCCUGGCAUCCUGCUAUAAAAUCCUGGGUGUAAUUGUAGCGUGCUGAGGCAGAACAGGAGUAAUCAGAUCAGUCCGAGGCAGGGAACAUACAUGAAGCCACAGCAUCAGCACUGGAUUAAAACGACCCCCCUCGCUGAUUGAGGUACGAUGGGUUCCUGCAAGUAGGUAAACGAGAUCGAGAGAGGGAGAGAGGAAAAGCCGUGAAAGGGAGUGGGAGGAAGAAUGAACCAGAAAGGGAGGCAGCGCAGUGCGAGUGAGCGAGAGAGAGGGGAUGGGGAGGGAGUCAAAGGCAGGAAGCGAGCAACAGCCAGUGAAACAGAAAUGCAGGGAGUUUGAGGGAGAGGGUGGAAAACGGAGGCCCGCCGCCAACGAGAGGACGACAGGAGCGAAGUGAGGUAAGAGAGAAAGAAGGGCAAGGGUCCAGAGGAAGAAAACACACCGGGAUAACAUCUGCGGGAGGAAACAACACACCAGAAGGUGGGGGUCAGAGUGAAGACACAUACAAGAGAAAGUUUGAAGGUAGGACAGAUGAGAAAAACAUCUCCUGGUAAUGACAAGGCCGGGACAGUUAAAGAAGGGACACGUCCUCUCGAGAGUCCCCUUCUUGGGCCGCAGAAUGUUCUCCGAGACAAAAGGGGUCGGGGAGCCACGUGUUCAACCCACCGCUUCAAACCAACUGCAAAAUGGAAUACAAAGACCUCAAGCGGACAUCCUUGCCUAUUUUGGGACUGGGGACCACGUAACGAACACCUGUGGACCAAAGCAGCAGAAUUCCCCCCUCAAUGGAUACACUGCCAAGCAGCGUCUAACCAUUCAGGGGGGUCAUGCACAGCUAGACGUGGCUGGCCAGAUUUGUCAGACGGAGUUAACCAGCGUGCGGUGGAACCGGCCUCCAGGGAAGGGGCUGCAACAUAACAGCGUCUCUGUGAACUACAGCUUGACAGAAUGCAGCUUUGUGGUCCACCGGCACCAGACAGAGCCACACCCCUUCUUGAGGAAGUGUACUCUGGACGCGCCAACACAGUUCAGAGGUCAUGGAAACUGUGGAGCGCCUGUUUGUGCAGCCGAGCAACAAUCAGGCUCUGUGCGAGGGGCCCUGCUCGCAUCGGACUGGAUGGACGCAAGUGGCACUCACAAUUCGACCUUUAAUAAGGAUGCAGAACUUUGCACCUCUAACAGACAGGGAACUUUAAGUGGAUGCCUGGGACGUGUAAUGCAAGACUUCAGCAGACCUAGUAUGCUGACUACCAAAGAUGCCGACAAGACCAAUCCUAACCACCUUAAGUGUCAAGCAAAGGUUGCCCAAGGAGAUCUCGGUGGACCUAGAAGAGGGUCUUGCGCUUUCAGCUCUAAGCACACAGAGAGAGCUAUUCGGGAGCAGAUCCAAAGAGUUGUUGUGAAUCUCGAGGAUGUUCUACAUGGCCUGAAAGAAAUACAUCUGGAAAUGAAGGAGGUGGUCCAAAAGAUAGACCUUCUGACGGCUGACAUUGAUGUGGGCCAUGAUGAACCAGGGGACACUUUCAAAGAAAGAAUAGACACCGAAGGAGUCUGCUCUAACAAGUCACCCCUCAAAACACCAACUCCAUCUGUGGCACCACCAGCAUAUCCCAUAAAAGAUCAAGGGCUGCAGGAUGCAGGUCAAAAACAGCAAUCAACUCAGGAGUUGGUCACAUCUCAAAGAGAUACAUCAGGGACAGCUCCAAGGCGCAGGAGCAAGAAGCCUCCUCCUUACCCCUACUCCAGCACAAUGGGAAGAGUCAAUCCUAAAGACAAAGGUCAGACGCCACCCUACCCCUUUAGACGGAGACUGCUCUCGACCAUUGUUUGAGCAGACCGUGGCUUCAGGGUGCAAAGCGGAGCAUCACUCACUCUAAACGGUUUACCGAGUCACAGGCACCUUUGCGGUCUAUAAAGAGGACAUGACAGAAACAUCAUGUACUAAUAAAUCUAGAGAGUGACAUGGGCAACUGGGGACCACUUCUUAGAAAUACUGUAUGUCAGAGGCAAGCCGAAGAAAUAAUCAAAGGAUUCUGGCAUACCCCAAAGAUUUACUGCGAAUUCUCUACAAGCGCACCAUUACACCAGCUUAAGAAA